rnacentral:sRNA from 1 species
GAGCGCGGCCGCGGACGAAGAUGGCGACCGCCAUGUACUUGGAGCACUAUCUGGACAGUAUCGAGAACCUUCCCUGCGAACUUCAGAGGAACUUCCAGCUGAUGCGAGAGCUGGACCAAAGGACAGAAGAUAAGAAAGCAGAGAUUGACAUCCUGGCUGCAGAGUACAUCUCCACGGUGAAGACGCUGUCUCCAGACCAGCGCGUGGAGCGCCUGCAGAAGAUCCAGAAUGCCUACAGCAAGUGCAAGGAAUACAGUGACGACAAAGUGCAGCUGGCCAUGCAGACCUACGAGAUGGUGGAUAAACACAUUCGAAGGCUUGAUGCAGACCUGGCGCGCUUUGAGGCAGAUCUGAAGGACAAGAUGGAGGGCAGUGAUUUUGAAAGCUCCGGAGGGCGAGGGUUAAAAAGCAAGUCUGUUAAAUUUUUUUCUUUAUUUUAUUACUGUUAACUAUGGAGUUUUGAAGAGUUUUGUCACGGUAAAUCAUUAAAGUACGAUCACUAGGGUAAGUAUCAUAUUUGGGUAAACCUUGUCUUGCAGGCUG